rnacentral:rRNA from 1 species
UUGCACCCUAUAAGAGGUAAUGCCUGCCCAGUGACCAUGUGUUCAACGGCCGCGGUAUUCUGACCGCGCGAAGGUAGCGUAAUCACUUGUCUUCUAAAUAAAGACUAGUAUGAACGGCCACACGAAGACUUAACUGUCUCCCCUGUCCAAUCAGUGAAACUGAUCUCCUUGUGCAGAAGCGAGGAUAAACCCAUAAGACGAGAAGACCCUAUGGAGCUUUAAACUUAAUAUUAACUAUUUCUAUAAUCCCCUCUAAGGAAUUAACAAAUAACCCUUUUUCAACUUAAUAUUAGUUUUAGGUUGGGGCGACCAUGGAGAAAAAAAUAUCCUCCCUGAUGACUUUUAAACCAAGAGCUACAACUCUAAGUAUUAAGAUACUUAACUUCCAUUGACCCAUUUUAUGAUCAACGAACCAAGUUACCCUAGGGAUAACAGCGCAAUCCAUUUCAAGAGUCCCUAUCGACAAAUGGGUUUACGACCUCGAUGUUGGAUCAGGGCAUCCCAGUGGUGCAACCGCUACUAAUGGUUCGUUUGUUCAACGAUUAAAGCCCUACGUGAUCUGAGUCAGAC